CCCUUUUUAAAAAAGAAUUCGUUGAGGGAGUCUGUGCAACCGGAAUGUCGAUUAGCUUUGACAUUACAAUAUUUGUCACAAGGAACUUCGUUUCAAUCGUUGGCAUGGUCAUUUCAACUGGGGAAGGAAACGGUUAGGCGCAUUAUUCUGGAGACAGCUGAAGUCCUUUGGACAAAGUUAGGCGCUGUUUAUGUAUCUGAGCCUAAUGAAGAAGAUUUCAAGCAAAUUUCU